rnacentral:misc_RNA from 1 species
GAUGAAGAACGUAGCGAAAUGCGAUAAGUAAUGUGAAUUGCAGAAUUCAGUGAAUCAUCGAAUCUUUGAACGCACAUUGCGCCCAUUAGUAUUCUAGUGGGCAUGCCUGUUCGAGCGUCAUUUCAACCCUCAAGCACAGCUUGGUGUUGGGACUCGCGUUAAUUCGCGUUCCCCAAAUUGAUUGGCGGUCACGUCGAGCUUCCAUAGCGUAGUAGUAAAACCCUCGUUACUGGUAAUCGUCGCGGCCACGCCGUUAAACCCCAACUUCUGAAUGUUGACCUCGGAUCAGGUAGGAAUACCCGCUGAACUUAAGAAUAUCAAUAAGCGGAGGA